rnacentral:lncRNA from 1 species
AAAACAUAAAUAAAAACAAGUCUGUAAAAUGCUAUAGAAACCCCUGUCCAGAAGAGCCAUUUGGGUUGUCAGCUAAUUGUAUCCCAAGCUACUGCUCUGUUGAACAUCAUCUGGGACUUCAGUUCAAGGGUUUGUUUGUUUUCACGCUGUACUCCUGCUUCCUCCAAGCCACAGACAACAGGAGCGUUGCUUCCAGAAAAUGCAAGAUCGCAGUCUGUAGCAGAGAGCUUGGUUCAAUUCCCCAUUCUUGGCCUUACCCCAAAGAUAAGGAAGAAAAGCUCCCCCUUCUGCCCCGAAUCCUCCCUGAAGGACCAGCCUCGGCUGGGAGAAUCAGAUCUGGUAACUUCUGGUCCCAAGCGUGUUCCCUUGGCCACUGCUGCAGUGAGAGUGAGGCCAGUAAGGGUGGAUUUGGAAUCCGGGAGUCGUCCGUUCAGUUUUGGAUCCUAGGAAGGAGUCGAUGAUCCCUACCGAGGCGCUUUCCAUGGUCCACCAGAAAAGGGCUUCCCUGAAAGCAGAUAAGGAAUCCAGAACUGUGAUGGGAUUAAGGUGCUUCUCCCCUGAAAGCAGAUAAGGAAUCCAGAACUGUGAUGGGAUUAAGGUGCUUCUCCCCAGACCAUGUCCCUCCAGCCUGAGGAACCUGCCCUACCUACGGUGUCUCCCCGCACAGUGGGGAGUUAGGGUCUCCGUGAGCUGUCUGGAUCAGCCACAUGGGUUAAAGAGAGAAGCCCAGUUCGUCAGGAAAUCUCCCUCUUCCUAUCUUGAAACCCCUAAGGCUCCUCCUUCAGAGGGCGGUGCCCAGCGGAUUAGCUUAGGUUCUGGUCUGCAGGCCCUAGAAAUGGCCUCUGAUGAACUCAGUCAAACUGGGGACACCUGAAUUUCCGGUCCUCACCAGAGGCUGGGGACAGGGCCGCUCCGGGAAUCUCAGCAGUGAGCGAUCACGGUCAGUUCCUGGGGCUCGUCUCGGGGGCCGCCACCAGAGGCCAGUGCCCCAGCCGCCCACAUGAGCUCACCCUACAGGCUCCCAGGGGACAGGCUCUGGGCCCAGUGUUCACCUCGUGGUCACCAGCGGACCCACCCGUGGACCAGGGAUUGACAAUGCCAUGAUGAAGCCAGUCCGCUGCAGGCGACCUUGUGGGCAAGAAGUAGGACGUUUCCUUAUUGAAGCGGGUGGUGUUGCUGACAUGGGUGGCGCCAUGCACAUGACCCUCUCGGCCCCCGGCACCCUGGACAUGCCCCUCUUCCUGCUGGUGCCCCCUGUGACAUAACGUGGCUCCCCUGCGAGAAGCUACCAGCGGGCUUACUUCCUGACAAUCAGAAGAAAUCUCCAAAGUCACACACAGCUCUGCUCUGCCGUUGAGGCCGUGGGUCAGAGCUCUGAGUCCGGGAGCCCUGGCUGGUAGGCACGCCGCCACUGCUAUUUGGCAAAACAUGGA